GGCUCAGGAUGAACGCUAGCGGCAGGCCUAAUACAUGCAAGACGAACGGUAAGUUGAGUAGCAAUACUUAGCCAAGAGUGUCGUACGGGUGCGUAACACGUAUGCAACCUACCCUAUACAGGAGGAUAGCCUAGGGAAACCUGGAUUAACCCUUCAUAGUAUUAUUGGAUGGCAUCAUUUGAUAAUUAAAACUGAGGUGGUAUAGGAUGGGCAUGCGUCUGAUUAGUUAGUUGGCGGGGUAAUGGCCCACCAAGACGAUGAUCAGUAGGGGUUCUGAGAGGAAGAUCCCCCACACUGGCACUGAGAUACGGGCCAGACUCCUACGGGAGGCAGCAGUAGGGAAUAUUGGUCAAUGGAUGCAAGUCCGAACCAGCCAUGCCGCGUGCAGGAAGAAGGCCCUCUGGGUUGUAAACUGCUUUUGCCAGGGGAUAAAAUUUCCAUGCGUGGAAAACUGAAGGUACCUGGUGAAUAAGCCACGGCUAACUACGUG
rnacentral:rRNA from 1 species